UAGAUUGGUCCAAAGAAUUCAAUUCCCGCAAGUCCCGCGCUAAAGAAUCUCCAAUUGCCAAAUUUCUCACCAAAAUUUAGGCUCCCUUAUUCAACAAAUUGAAUUUAACUUUAAAGAAUGGGUCCCACAGUGUGAUUGCAAAUUCCAAUAACUGCCAAUACACACUUCUAAUUACUCAACACAACCAAUUUUUUUAGUUAAAAGCACCUACAAUCACGCUUUCAGCACACGCUUCAGCUUUCACCAAUUUAGCUUAUACAUUUGCUUUCACUGAUUCUACUUUAAUUUCUUCAAUUAAUUGCGCACCUUGCUAGUACUUAAUUCACGCUGCACCUUCGACACACCAUUUCUCAUCAAAUUCUUCAAAUUCACGGACCCCACAAUUCACUGCAUCAGCUUCAAUCAAUUUGCAAUUCACAAAUUGAAUUCAAAUGCAGACAUACUCCUUUUUUAAAUUAAAAACUGCACCAAAAUGAUCAACAAUUUCAACCAAUUUGCAAUUCAAGAUGAUCACUGCACCAACAAAAACUAGAAAAUUGCAACUGCAGAAAAUUUGUCACCGUUUGAAUUCAAUCUCACAAUUUAUUUUUUAAAUACCAAUUCUAAUCACCAAUUCUCGGUCCAUCACUUCACGAAUAGCUCCUUCAAUACUUUUAUCAAACAGUUGACACACACACCUUAAUGCAUUAAACACUUGCACUCAACACCAAAUUCAUGCAAUCCAAAUCAUUUCGUGGCACAACUCAGAGCUUCAAUCAUGGUGGAUUGCACUCGUGAAGCCAAAUUUUGGAACAGAUCCACCUUAAUUGUUCUUCCGUUUCCAAACGAUUCUCAAUCAAUCAACCAAUUUCAUUCGCCAAUAAUUUCCAGAACCGUAAAUUCAGAAUUUCAAGGAGAACCGCACAACUAUUUUACUGAUAUUCAGCUGCACCGUUAAAUUGAUUAAGUGCAAAACUUCAAUUGCUAUGCUCACUGAAUAUAUCAAGCGUGUAAACUGUUUGUUAGAAAGCUUCAAAGAAAUUUUAAUUUGUAGAAAAUACAAGAAUUGAUUCUAAUCAGAAUUUUUUUUGAAACAUCUUUAUCAAAUGAAUUAAACUUUCAAACUCAGUGUAAUGCCGAAUUCAUCUGAUUUUUCAUAUGUAUGAAUUGUACCUUUUAAUCACGAAUAAACAAUUCCAGCAAAUGCUCAAUCGGUACAUCAGCAGAAAUUCUUCAGCGCCUUUCAAAUCGCGAUUCACUCAUUCGUCACUGCUUUGCUUCAUCAAAUUAAACCCGAUCAAGAUCAAUGUUUUGCUUCGAAAUCAACAUCUACUUCAGUCAUCUUCAACAUUUCGCCAGAAUGUGAAACUUAAUCCGCGAACGAUUAUAAUUCCUUUGAGAAUGCUCUUCGUUUGAGAUGACGAAGUUAAUCGGUCAGUUCUCCGUGCACUGAUUCUGUUUGUCGGAAAACCACUAAAACCUAUGUUCGCGAUUCUUCCAACACCUCAAUGUUUCUCCGUUUUGCUUCUUCACAGUUGCUCCAGGAAAACGAAGAACAAUGAACGCAAAAGGCAGAACCAAAAUUUUCGGAAUCGGAAUUGAAAGCAGAAGAAGAACUUACAUGAACCAAUUCCGACUAAGCACGAAAGGAACCGAAACUUUAGAUUCUGUUUUCUGACUUCCUAUUCCAGAUUCAAAUUCUCCUCCGGCGCCGUUCGCAGUUGAAGACGAAAUCAUACUCCCGAAGUCUUGUAGUGCGAAAACUGUGGAAGCGUCGCGCACCAAUUUCACUCACACUGGACUUGUUCCGAUUCCAAUUUCAUGAACACUCAGAAGAUGAAGAACAGCAACACAAAUCGCAGAGAAAAUUUGAGGAAAAUCUGAAAAUCUAAACCAAAUCUGCUAUUGGCAGCGCAGAUCCAACAAUUUUCAUAAACAGUUCACAUUACUGCUCACACCACUUGAUUUUCUUUUUGAACCACGAAAAAUUUUCGGACAAAUUUCGAGAACUUUCGAAAAUGAUUUUUGAAGAGAAUGAUAAUGGAAAGCUAACUCAAAGAAAAUUGUUGAUGAUCUAGUAGCAAUUUAUG
rnacentral:lncRNA from 1 species